GGCCCAUUCGUCUAGCGGUUAGGACAUCGCCCUUUCACGGCGGUAACACGAGUUCGAGUCUCGUAUGGGUCACCACCAC
rnacentral:tRNA from 1 species